rnacentral:rRNA from 1 species
UAGGGAAUCUUCGGCAAUGGACGAAAGUCUGACCGAGCAACGCCGCGUGAGUGAAGAAGGUUUUCGGAUCGUAAAACUCUGUUGUUAGAGAAGAACAAGGACGUUAGUAACUGAACGUCCCCUGACGGUAUCUAACCAGAAAGCCACGGCUAACUACGUGCCAGCAGCCGCGGUAAUACGUAGGUGGCAAGCGUUGUCCGGCUUUAUUGGGCGUAAAGCGAGCGCAGGCGGUUUCUUAAGUCUGAUGUGAAAGCCCCCGGCUCAACCGGGGAGGGUCAUUGGAGACUGGGAGACUUGAGUGCAGAAGGGGAGAGUGGAAUUCCAUGUGGAGCGGUGAAAUGCGUAGAUAUAUGGAAGAACGCCAGUGGCGAAGGCGGCUCGCUGGUCUGUAACUGACGCUGAGGCUCGAAAGCGUGGGGAGCAAACAGG